rnacentral:misc_RNA from 1 species
GUAGGUGGCGCUGAAUGACGACGUACUGCUGUGCCUUCAGUUUUCCCGACGCUUCGCUUGUUUACAGUUGGCUUUAAAACCAGGUUGUAUUAUGUCACUGGAGUUUAAGCGAUGGAAGAGUGAGGACAGAAAACUAGGACUUGCAAGAAAUAUGGAGAUUCACCUCCUAAUUUGGACUAUUCAAUUCCUAUAGUGCUGCUUGACUCAAUCACACGUGGGUGGUAGAGUGCAAAACCGCUGAAAGACAUCAGACAUGUCCUCUGACUUUGAGUCUGUUUUUAAAAACUGGCUCACUCAUCGAGAAGAAGAUGAAGAAGGCAAUUUUGAUGAAGAGGAUGGUGAGAGGGUAGAGGAUUUGCUGUCGGGCAGUCAACAAGAUGGUGGUGAGGGAAAGAUGCAUCUUGACAGGGAGGCUUGGGAAGAGGAGGACAUGAACGAGAUGCCCAUUUUACAGAAGAUGGUUGAUCUUCCUUCCAAACAAAUACCAGAACAUGGCAGUGAACUUGGGCCUUCUCCUCCUCCACCCCCAUUGCAGAAGUCAGUUGGAGGUGACUUGAGGAAAGGUUGUGAACGGAUAACAUCCCGCAAGUCCAGAUCAUGUCGGAAGGCGCGGAGCAAAGCUUUCAGCUGUAUCCAAGAACCAAGCCAUGUGCAUACGAAGUCUAGCCAGCUCCAGGAGGGUGAUGACAGUUUUGUUAAAAAUGUGUGCAGUAAGCAGCAUCUUAAAAUGGGCAAAAGUUUACCGGUGAUAAAUCGUAGAAAAUUUGUGUCUAGAGCCACUGCCAAAGAAAUGGACUCUUCUUUAUCUCCGGUUCAUUUGACUCUAGAUCAAGAAACCAUUAAUUCUGACAAUUCCUUGCCGGCAUCCCCGAGCUGUAUAGGAGAUGUACUUCUUCAUCCAAAUUUCAGAGAUGAACACAUGAUGCAAACAUCUAGGAGAGAUUCUAGCAGUAUUCUCAGUAGAGAGUUGCGUAAGAGCUGUGUUUUGAGUCCAGAGCGAGACCUUGUGGAGCCUGACUCCACAUCUGAAAUUCUUGAUGUUCCAAAUGUUAGAAAAUCCCCGAAAAGUCGAAGUAAAGAGGAGCUGAGUAGGGUCAAUCUAUCCGUGGCACACGCAAAGACUAAGCAUGGCUUGGGUCAUUCAGGUGAGGUUACUGUACGUAUAACUGACGAAGGUGUUGGGGAGUGUGACAGUACCUCAAUGUGCCUAGCUUCUCCCAGUGCUAUUUCACCUGCCAGUCAAGGAGAGAUUGAAGAGCGUAUGUGUCCUGUGAUGGCUGACAAUGAGGAUGGUGGUCACCACUUGACAGAAUGGGGGACUGGUCACUGUAUUUGCCAGUGCCGUUCCCUGACCUCUCCUCCCGACCUUCCUUUCCUCCCCUCCAAAAAAUCUCGUUCUAGUCAUAGCAGCAAGAAUUCUCUAACAUCACGUCAUCUAGUCAGGAAGAACAGGCUUCUCAGCUGUGAUUCACUGCCACAUUUGGAAAGAAUGCCCAUCUGCACAAACCAGAAUGAAAGUCUGGAUUUAGAGGGGACUGGAAAUCAGAUCUGUGAGAGUCCUCCUAUGCUUAGCCUGCCAGAGUUAGAGCUGCAAGGUGAAGGAGACCUAAUAUGUUCCCCAAAGCUUGAUCCAGAAAUUGGGCAAGGCUCGUUCAUGAUAAAAUCUGAACCUGCUGAGACCCCUCCUCUCCUUGUGAAAUAUGAGGUAGAGGACAAGCUUCACAACCAAAGCAAAGGCUUGCUAGAGGAUUUCAGUUACGAUGAAAGCCCACCUGUUCUUAUUUUACCCAUGAAGGUAUACAGAAAAGGGACCAAAGGUGAUUCUAGAAGAAGGCACUCUUCACGCAGAAAACGUUCAUCUAGUGCUAGAAAGAAAGAAGCUAUGUCACCCCCUUGCCUCACAAAAUAUGAGGCCAAACCAUCCGAAUCAGGCAUAGUGCUCAAGCUUAGAGCCAAAAGAACUUUGUCAAAUCCUCGGUCGCCUCAGCCGGAUCUAAGAAGUGACAUGCCACAACUUCUGGUUGAGCAAAAGACACUUUCCACUGACCAGAUUCAUCCCUCCAAAGAGCCAGAGUCAGUCUCUGAGUCUGCCGUUGAUGAGAAAAAGCCUCCAAAGCAAGAACCCAAACAAGAGUUUCUUCUGGAGCCCAAGCCUGUUGCCAGGAGACGACACACUGUUGACAGUCCAGAAUUUCCUGUAGGUUUGCGCAAACGGAAAAGGGACAGCGAACCUGAACAGGGUGGUGGAGAGUCUAGGCUGCAUGACCCUAGUAAACACCAGCAAGAUGGGCUGAAGGAAAGAGAAGACUUCGGAAGUCGAGGAAAGAGGCAGAAGGCAGGUUUGGGUGGUGCAUGCUCAUGCUGCCGAAAUCCCAGCCCCAAACACAAGAGAAGACGGCGCAACACUGUGCACUUAGGUGAUCCAUUCUUUGAUCUUUCACCUGUUCAACGUGACUUUGUGCUCUUUUCUGUGAAGCUUUCGCGACUUCAGACACGCACACAUAGCUUGGUGUGCACUCUCUUUCCACGUCUCGCUCCAGAUCUACAGAAUAUUGCACCAGAAUCUCAAAAAUUUCUAGAAGCCAUAGAUGACAUCAUUGGUUCACUGCAACGCUCUGAGUUGGAAGAGAACAACAAAGAUUCUGCAGACCUUAGUUGUUUGAUAGAAACUCUCAGUCUGGCAGACAGAAAUGAGGAAGGAGAAAUACCUGUGUAUCUGCCCCAGGUGGUUGUGUGCCAGUCUCCCCAGCAUUCUUUGGAGGAGUUUCAGGACAAAGUUUGUAUUAUGCUUCAGUUACUUUUACCAGAUAUUACCGUUUCUCUUUCAGACAAUCUCUUUCAUACUUCUGAAGAGCUAGAAUUAAUGUUGGAGAAAAUUAUUGCUGCUAACAUGCUCAAGCCAAGCAAGAAAGAAUGAGGAAGGUGGUUUCCUCAGAAGGUUUUGUGACAACUGUUUUGUUUGUAAUUCUUACCUGUGCAAAUGCUUGCAUAUUUAUUGUAUUUGUGAUAAAAACAAAUUGGCAAUGUUUAAAAGAAAUGUUUGUAAAUGUUUUGCAUUCUUUGUAUAAGUGCACUGUGUAGUGCAAGACUGGAAAGGUUGAGGGACUGUUGAGUAAAAGUGAUCUGUAAAUUGGCAGAAUAAUUACUGAUAAUUUAGUAGGCAGAAGUAUCAUGAAUGAUCGAAGAUGACUUUUAGUUGGUUUUUAGUAGGCCCAUAUUUAAUGGUAUAAAUGUAAAGAAUAUUUUAAAUAAGUAGAUAGCGUCAAGUCGACAGUAUUUUUGAAAGCAUGUUUGACAGCCUCAGGUCAGCGGCAAACCUGGUGCUAUUGCUUUUGUAAAGUGCAUCACCUUGGUUGAAAUUCUUAAGCAUCAUGAGGAGCAGUAGUGACUGUGCUGAAAGUCACUCAGCAAGAAUUGGUUCUGGACAUUGGAUUAACUUUUAAGAUGAUCUUUUACGGUCAGAGUGUGCAUCCCAACAAUGCUUCUUUCAUUGAGCAGUCUUGGCUGAAGGAGCAUUAUGAGUUUUCUGUUAUACCUUCAGGUUUGUUAUUUGUUAUUGUACCCUUUCCAAGCCAAGUCAUCCAAUUGUUAUAUGUGUGUCACAUCUUCACUUUAUAGAAAAAUCCGUGCUAGGCCAGAUGUGCUUUAUGCUAAAUUUACAUCUAUAUAUAAGAUGUGCAGUCUAUGCAGCACAGAAUUGCACAUCUCAUCCAGUCUCCCUGUAUGGCAUGUAGAGAUUUUGUAUGUGAAGCGUGUGUUGUAACUGUAGCAUUAUAUGACCAUAUUAAUAAGCUUUGUUUGAUAUAUUGGGAGUGAAUGGAGCAGGAGCCCCGCUGUUCCAGAUUGCUUGUCUACCCCAAAACUUAGAGGUAGUUGUCUCAGUUUUUCUUUCAUGUCAGUAUGUGGUCAUAAAAAUAGAAGAUUGUUUUGACAUUUGUAGAAGCCUAAGUAAUGUAAGAUAUCUGGUGAGAGAAAGUAUGUUUUGAUUGAUUCAGUUAUUUUAGGGGCUUACAUAUUCCAGAUCAUUUGGUAAUUAGAAAUGACAUUUCAAGGAGUUUGUGCAUAUGAAGUAUAUUCUGAAUCUUUUUUAAAUUUUUAUUUAUUGAUAAUAUCAAAAUUUCUGCGUUUGGGCAAAAGCAAAACAGAUAAGUCACAUAAGUCUACAAUUUAUCAUUUUGGGAAAAACUUGUAGUAUCAGUAGUUUUUUUAAAAAACUGCACAUUUGCAUGCUUAUGCAUUUUGUGUCACUGUGCAUCUGUUAGAGAUAUUCUGUGUAAAUGUCUCAGAAUCAUGAGAACAUUUUUCUCUAUGGAAUUAGGACCACAUGAUCUUUAUGCAGUUCACAAAUAUGGAUGACAAGAGCUUUGCUGUUUUUUUCCUUUCCUUCUCACUGAAUUCCUGAAGACUGCUCAUUUUAGUGAAAUACACAGUCAUGGUGCUGACAAUAAGGAGAUAAGAUGUUUUACGUUUGCAUGUAUCCACAAAAAUCUUUCUCUUGAAAGCUACAGUAAAUGGGCUGCUUUUAAAUGCUUGGCAUAUUACCUUGCAGGAAUUACACAAACAACCCUUUUAGGUGUAUUAAAUAUUGAUAACUGUGAUACAAUUCAGAAGUUGUACAUUAUACAAAAUGGUCCUUGACUGUAUUGUCAAACAUGAAGGAAAAAUGUGUCCUGGAUAUGCUACAAUGUUUGCUAGAGCCUAGAUUACAAGAAAUUUUGACUUUCUGUCAUUUUUUAAAAGAGUUACCUUCAGGAAUAUCACAUAACUGCAUUAUAUAUCUCAUUCAUACGACAAGAUUCCUUUGUUAAGCCAAUUCACAGCAUAUGUCCAUGUCCUGCUAGUCCAAUUGUUACGAAAAUGCAGAGAAAAGCAGUGUAAAGAUUGCAACAUAAGAUUUCUAUGGCUUAUAGUUUUAGUUCUUUGUUACCUUGUUCUAAGAAAAUUUGUAUAAUGUUCAGCAAAUGUUCUAAGAAUUGUAUGUCAAGUGUUCAGAUAUUGCCAGCAACAACAGUGUUCAAGGUUAAUUUUCCCCUUUUUAUACAUGGGAUUCCCAAGUUGCUGUUAAGAUACAUUUUUAUCCUGCUUUAAAGUAAUUUUUGCACUAUCAUGCCUAAUGUCAGGUCUUUUGGAGUUGUUGUGAAGGUAACUGGAGAACCAUAAAGAUAAAUGUAGUAAACGUUUUUUAUGGAAGUGUUCUUACAAAGUAUUCACAGGUUACAAAACUUGUCAUGAUGACGCUAACCUUGCACGAUAUAUAAUUUAGUGCUUUUAAAAGAAACUAGUGGAUUUUGGUUAAUGCAAGCCAUCUAAUGACAAUGGUGUGAGUUGCCGAUAUAUUGGAGCAGUUUCAGCCAAACAUGUAAACACGCGUAAUUCCAGCUGUGGUGUUCGGUUCGGGUGGAUGGGUGGGGAAGGGGAAUAUAUGCAUUUGUCACCAGUUCCAUGAUGAUCAGGUGCCUUGGUUAUUAUUUCGAGCACUCUGUUCUUUGCAUAUGUCCCUUAUUUACAGGGCCACCUGCUCAGCCCUCAUACAGCCUUAGUUGCUGGCUGUAAAACACCAAGUAAAAAAAUUAUUUCUGCUGUGUAAUGUGUGUAUUGGAGGAGUGUUUUGAAUAGAUCAUAAUGCACUUUCUUGAAUUCUAAAUAAUCAUAGAUCAUUACCAUAAGACAGAUUUUUCAGUGGCUGACAUUUUGACAUGAGCCUCUCAAAUUUUAAAUUUACUGCACCAUCAACAAGGUCUCCCACAAUGUUUAGAUCUUUGUAAUGAUUGGAUGAUAAAGACAUGUCUUAAUGACCUCCAUCUCAUAGCCUACAGAUCCUAUGAUUAAGCAGGUGUUGCCUGAUUAAGUAGCAUGUUGCUAAUAAGUAGAGCGAUUUUAUUUGGUGGGGGUUCAACUUGGUUUUUUGUUCUUUAACCUUCUUCCCAAAUAACCAGUACUCCCAACUAACCAGAAUCUGCUGUGUUUGCUUUUAAGCUGUUGGUUAUUAAUACAUUACCUUAAACAGAAAGAAAGAACCAGAACUACAUAUAAAAAAGUUUUCAUUGCUGUUUCUGUAGAUUUUCCCAGUUAUACUUAAGAGUACUUGAGUUUAAAGUUGCACCUGCAAUGCACAAAUCCCUAACCAAUGUUUACAUGUGCACACAGUGGACUGAAAAUGUUUUGUUCCAUGUUUUUGUUAAUUCAGAUAAGUGUCUUCUGCAGUAGAUAUGUCGAAGUCUGCAUUUAAUUUGUAUUUGGCAUAUACCUUUCACAAAUAUUCCCCCACUGUGUUGGUUUGUAUGUACAUGCAUGUGGCUUAUUGGAGCACCUGUUCAAGCACACACAGCUGUUAAUAGAACUGUCCUUGCUGAAGUUACACAUGUAGGAAGGGAACUCUGACACAAAUUUGUAAAAUAAUGUUGAAUAAAUGUUAAGAUAUAUAGCAUUGUUCAUUGUUUCUACAAGCUGACUGCUGCUAGAGCAAUUUUUAUCAUGUUAAAAAGCAAAAAUUCAUUAAUUGUAGUUGGAAAAAAAUUAUGCUAUGCAUAUCCGAUAAUGCUUCACACAUUUAACUUUGUACACUACGGUCAUCAUAGCAUGAAAGCGGUUUCUUUGGCUCCAAUAUAUAGCAGAUGUUACACCAUCGAUGUAUAUCUCUGGACUGCGUGUAGAAGAAUUUUACUGCAUUAACUUUAAGAAUGAUGCCAAAGCGCUAAUUACUGGAUUAAAAAUCAACAUCAGACAAGAAAAAUAUAACUAACACAUUUAUUUAAAGUCUAUUUUUUUGUUUUUGUUUUUUACUGAAAUUCCAGAUGUUAAAUUGCUAAAUGGUUUUGCCGAAAGCAUGACAGCCUACAGCUUCAUGAGGGGCUAAGACUUAGUCUCUCAGACAGCUAGCUGUCCAGAGAUAUUCACCCAGUUAUGCAGAACCUCCAUCAGCUGUAUAAAAUUUUUGACCAAACCAAAAUACGCUUUUAAUGCUAACAGUGUAAUAGGACCAAAUAUUAUUUCUCAAAAUGUAAAAUAUUUACUGGACCAUUUUUAACAGCAAACAAAAAUAAAAAUUGUUGCUGAGGACCAGACAACAGCAAAAUGUUGGCUGUUUAUUUGUGCAAUUCUGGUUGAAAACAGCUGAUAGGAUACAAAAGGGAAAUAAAUGUUUUUGAAAAUGUUAUCACACCCCAACCCUGUUGCAGUUGUGAGCGUAAACUGUUGAUUUUUCAUUGACAGAUUUGUUGAAUUUACUGUUGCUUCAACGUGUUAAUGUAUAUUCAAAACAUAUUACAAAGUUCAGUGACCUUGUGAAUGCCUGACACACUCUUUGUCUUCCUAGCACCAAAAGCUUUAUAGAAGAAUAAACAAUGACUAAAGUGUCUGAUCAUCUUGCUCCCCCAUCAUUGCUAUGCAAAUUGUUCACCAACCAAGCCAUUUUAAUUGGAUUAUAAAGUAGCCAACAGGUCCCAAGGAAUAAUCAAAUGUAUUCAGGGAAUUAUAUGGUCACUCUAGGGUGAUCAACCAUUUUCAGGUGAAAAAAGUAGGUGAACCAAGUCAUGUAAAAACUUCAGUCAGGCUUAAGUUAUUCGUUUUUUUAAAAAAAUAUUAUGCUAUUUUAAGUAGGAAGUUUAUCAGCCCAGUAUAUAACAAGCAUACUAUUAUCAGAAUGCAGAACUUGAGGCGCAUCCCAUAUUCCAUCAAUUCACAAUAUUACCACUACAGACACAAACAUCAAUCUGAAAUGUGUAUGUGAGUGGUAUGAGUAAGGGGGUGAAAUAGCAAAAGACCAGAUCUUGCACCAAUCCAUCUUUAAUAUUAAUAUUAGUAUUCUGAACCCAAAAAAAGUUUAAAAUUGGAAAGCAGGAAGAAAUAUGUGAAAGUGGCAGAUUUAUACAAAUCAACAUGAAUGGGAUUAUUUUUGUUAAUACUGUUGAUGAAUAAGGGUGUAGGGGCAUUGAACUCAAUGGUGAAGUUAGAGCCUUAACAAUGGUUGCAUAUAGCAAUAUUGAUAAAUGAUUUUUUUUUUAAUACAAAGUUAUUGUAUGUAUAAUUCAUACAUAAAAAUCCUAUCUAAAUUAUUUACUUUUAAAAGCACAUUAUGUAAUGCAUUAUUAGACUUGUACAUAGCUGUUUUCUUGUCUGUGAAAAAGAUUGUUCUCCAUCUCUAAUGAUGUGUGAUUGAAAUAUUUGAUGUUGAUACUGGUUUUACUUAAUGAUCAUGUCCUGACUGGAGCAAAUAUUGUGCAUUGCACUUUGCUGCUAUUAGUUUUGAGUAUCUGUAGUUUGUUGCCAAGUUUCUGGCAGAAACACUCCUUCCAAAGAUUGUUCUCUAUUUACCAUUUCACUACAGUGAGUAUUGACAAGAAUGGAAAUGUGAUAGAAUUUACUGUUAGAUUUGUUGAUAUGUCUUGCCUUUUGAACUGUUUAAGCUAUUCUGCUCCAGACUGAAAGUUAAACCUCUGCGUAUCCCUUGAACAUUGUGCUGUUCUCGAUUUAGUGUUUUACUUCUUUGAAAAAGGUGUACUUGUAAAAAUAAAAUGAGUAGUUCAUGCCAAUAGUUUAUUUCAGUUAUUUGAGAUCAGCUUCCGAUGAAGAAUCACAAGAUAUAACCUUUGCAGCAGUUUAUGGCUUCUGUGAUUUUUUUUUUUUUACAUUGUGCUGUUUUGUUUAGACAAAGCAAAAACUGCAUUUCAAAAUGCUGCUUUCAUAACACUAUGCAUUAACUGGUUGACAUUCAUGAUCAAAAUUUCUUUCCAGUCCAGAAUGUGUAACUUAAUUCAUAUGCUAAGUGGUGGUUUAAAUUCUUCAUCAAAAAAAUGUAUUAAAGAAUACAUAGUUUUUGGUGUGAUAUGAAGAAGAAUUUGGAAGUGGAUUUCAUAGACACAUACAAGAGAUUUUUUGUGUCUUUUUUUAAAGGAACUUCAUUGGGUUAGGCAGGGCAAGUGGUCUUAGAAUUAGACUGACCUUCCAUGGCAUUUGCUUCCUAUUCUUCUUUAGUAGAACAGGAUAUUAUUACAUGUACUGAUGUGUUGAACUUUCUUAAUUCACAUAGAGCAGAUAUGGUUGGAUAUUUUAUCCUCUAUAACUGGGCUGUUUCUUCCACAUACUUUUAUUUUACAGACAGAAGUUGAAUGUAAUAAGGUCAUGCUGUUUUAUGAUUCUAGUUUAACCUUGAUGAUCUUAGUCAGCAAUCACUGGCUGCAUUUCUACAAGAAUUUAGAACUACCGUAUAUAGUCUUAAUUAUUUUGCACUAAAUAUGAUCCCAAGCUCUUUAGAUGUGGUCUGUACAGGGGUUUUGGGCAAGUGUCCAGGCAUUUUGCAUGAAAUAGCCUCACACUAGUUUGCUUUCGUCAGGUCUCAGGAUCUAAAGCACUUUAUGUGCAAAAUUUCUUUGCAUAUUGUAAAUAAUAAUAUGCUGAGAUUGAUUUUUUUUUCCAGGCUGGUUACAUUCACAAUCAGUCUUGUAUUUGCACAAUUAACUUUUCAAGGGUAGUGCUGCUGAAAAGAGUGUACUUGAAGAUGUUUUUGUUAAAAUUUAUGGAUGUAGGUGUUCUGUACCAUUCAUUAAAGACUUAAAGAUUUUAAUUCCUGCUGACAGUACCUGCUCAUUUGUAGUCAGUCAACAAUCAACACUAAAAAUCUAUGGAACUCACGGCGAAUUGGAGAAGCACUUUUAAGAGUUUCUUUGAGGUUAGAGGGUGUUGGAAACAUCAGGGAAAAAUUGACUUUGUUGUCGAAGUUUCACAAACUUAAGACCACAAUUUCUUUUCAAAGUGUUUAACAGCUCUACUUCUUUGUUUAUUUAUGAAACGUUGGCUAUGUUUUGCCAUUGAAUUCACAUUUUCUGUUCACUACACAAUUCAUUUCUCUUCCACAUUGUUGCUUGUAUGCACAUUCUACCUAGAGUUCUGCAGUUAAUGUUUUUAAAAUGUGUUUCAUCUGAGUCCAAAAACAGUCAUUUAAUAUGCUAAGUGCAAAAGUGUAAUUAACAUUUGCACAGUUUCUUCUGUUUGCUGUUUCAUGCACUUUUUUAAAGGACUCUCUUCUCAUUUACAUAAAAAAUGUUUAGGGGUUUUUUACUUUUACCUUGACUAAAGAUAUUCAUAGAAAACAUGUCCUAAUGGCCACAAGUUAAAAAUGUUCAUGCUCGCUCUACUUAUGAUCAUAAUGACUUUCAUUCAUUAUUAGAACUAAAUGGUAUUUAAUAGUACUUUCAGUCCUGUCAAAGGCUGAUUUGCUAGGGCCUUGUAAGGCCACAGUUUCUGGGUCUUUCAUAAGAAUGUUAAUAGACAGGCAUAUGUGUUCAAGUCUCUGCUGUUUUUACAAAUGGCAGAAGGGAUUUGUGUAGUCUCUUAAAAUCUUGACGUACAUCUAAAGUUAAGGGGACUUGGGUUAGCUGGAUAUCAUUUAGCUGAGAUGGCAUUAUCUAGGAUUCUCUUUGUUGUCAGGAAAUGUUAUGACAAACUUUCAGCAAGAACUUCCACUAACAUUCUGAUAUUUGGGUGGAGGAUGUUAUUGUAUUGAGAUGACUGCAGAAUGUUACUUGUGGUAAGAUGACAAUGUUGUUCAUGUUUGAUGUGUUGCAUGUUUCACGCAACUUUUCCCAUGCCAAAUUUUGGUUCCAGCCCAUUGUUAAACAUGUGGGCCAACUUGAUAUCAUUCCCAACCGCUUGUACAGAGAGUCUUUUUGUGGAUUAUAGACCCACUCACCUUCUUCCCCCACACCUCAGUGGUGUGUCUUUGAUUUUUCAACCUCAUUGAUUUUGACAGAGUGUAGAUUGCCUUCAGUAACAUUAGCAGGUAAGGAUGCAGUAAAAUGUAUGCAGGAAUGAGAGGUCCAUCAAGUCAUCAUGGCUGACAAAACUGCAUUGAAUAUUUUUUUAAUUGCAAGAUUGCCUGUCAGAUUCAGAAAUUGUGGCAAAUCCAUUCUUCAGUAUAUAAGUUGUGUGUUUGCAGUUACAAGAAUGACAUGCUAUAAUUAAAUGAAAAUUACUGAAACAAAUUUGUAUUUAAGUAUUUUAACAAUCAGCAAGUGUAUGUAUUUGAACUGUCACUAGAAAGGCAGCAUUUUACCUGCUUUGAUCCUGCACUGAUGUCAUGAAGAGCAUGUUACUUUUGUCAUGAAUAAUGAUACCGUUUCAUCCAUAAGCAGUGUAUUAUUUGUAUAUGAUUAGCAUGUACAUACCAUUUGUGUGUUCUGUGUAAGUGCAUGUCUAAAAAUAUAUGGCAUAGAAAUAAUAAUAUGAGUACCUGAAGAGAUAAAUCUAGUCAGUGCCAAAGUCUUAAAUGCUAACAGUUGGUUGAAUUUUUAUUUUUCCCUCCCCUUUCUUCUCUUGCAUAUUUUUCCGUUUUUGAAAAGUUGAUAAGCUUACGUAGAGUCAAGGAUGUGUACUUAAAGGUUUUGUGCCCCCACAGCCCCCUCCCUGGCCACAAAUGCAUGUUAUGCACCAUACAUUUGUCACUGAACAAAAGGGGGUAACCUGAUAUUUUGUGUAUCUUGAUGGUGAUAAUAAAAUCUUGGUGAUAUUUUCCCAUGUGAGUUUCCCUUUGUUAUAUAUAUAUAUACCAUGCAGUUUCUGCAGAUUUUUAAGAAUCUGUAUACUGUUGCAAAUUUUGUUGUUACCGUGUGAUCCGUAGGGCAGGCAGUAGCUGCCCUUGCUAACUGUGAAAUAUUAACUAUAUCAGUAGAUGAUGUAGGGAGUGUGUGUGUAUGCAUGCACAUGCAUGCUCGCAUGUGAUAAAGGUUUUGUUAAAAUAGAAGAUUACUACAAAAUGUAUGGUCACAUUUUAUCAUUUUCAUCAUUUCAAAUGUAAACCUGUUUGUUUUGUUUUUUUGUUGUUAGUUUUUUUUUUUUUUUGUUCACUCUUUUGUGAUUUGAGCCUGGUUUUGCUUUGCCUAUUUCAAUUGCUUAGCCAAAGUCUGGUUAAGUUUGUUUCAGUCCAUGACCAAAAUAAGGUAACUUUUUGUAUGUUUUGAAUAGAAAAUGAAAGUCACUCAUUCUUUAGUGAUGAUAUUUAUCAUUUCUUUUCUGAAUUUAUUUUAAGGUUUUGGAGCACAGGUUUUUCAGCCAUUAUAUUGUGACACCCUUUUGAUUAAGAUCAUAUUCUUCUUAAAGAACUGAUUUCUGCACGUCCUUAGUUAAAGGUUGCCUCCCUUGAACCCUUUUACAUUUAUUAUACCACUGAUGUUUGUUUAACCUACAAUCCUACAUUGUCACACCCUCUUUUGUGCCUCACCAAAAAAAAAAAAAGGUGGGAUUUAAAAAUCUAUAGAAUAUACUUUUAAAAUUUGUAGUUUUUACUCAAUCAAUAUUAUUGUUUACCUUCAACAUUUGCGUCAGUCCAGAAUCUUUUCAUCGCUUAUGGAAAGCAUAUUUUUCACUUUCCAAAGCCUCUUACAUAAUAAGUCACAUAUGACCAACCACUGCUAUGCUCAUGACUUUAUAAUUUCUUUGUUCAGUUUUUCCUAGCCAAAUUUGAAACAUAGUAAGUGGAAAAUGCUAUUGUACACCAUUUUACUUUUUUAAUAGCAUAUUUCGGUUGUACAGUUAAAAAAUGGCUGAGGUGAUGGCAUUUACAAUGGCAAGACUUAUGUCUUUCAGUGCUCCAGCCUCAGAUAAUUUCAUGGUGCUUAGGAAAAAGUAACAAAUGAUCAGACAGGAUAUUUUUUAGUGCUGCCCCUGCUUUCUCAAACUUUGAAAUGUUGCAGCUUAAAAUGACCUAAUUUAUGUUUCACCAGAGGAGAAAAUCUUUUGAUUUUAUGGAAAAAGAUUGUUUUAGUCUAUUCAAUAGAAGAAAGGUCUGUAAAAGGAACUGUUUCAGUUUAUGAGAGUGUAGGCUGCAUAUUUGAAAAGUUACAUAGUUUUGUGUCUACCCUGCUUGUUUCACUUAAAUGAAUUAAAGAAUGAGCCAUGCUGAAAAAAGAAAUAUCUGUGGCUCUGAGAGUUAUAUUUGUUUGCAUGUUUUUCACCCUGUUGGUGUUGGAAGAAUGACAAUCUUUGUUAAUUUUAAUUAAUUAAGCAUUUUAUGCUGUUUAAGACUUUUUAAGGAGAUAUAUUUUCAGUUCACCAAAGUAUUGGUGUAAUAGGUCUUACGUAUGAUUGUAGUGAAUAGUGUACUGUGCAAUUUUUAAAAAGUUUAUCUCUUCUGUAUGAUGGCUAUUAAUGGUCAACAGCAUGAAGUGACUAUUGCUAUUUAUAGAAAUAAAUCUCUCAUCAGAUGUC